CUGGCGCCUUCCCCACGGGACAGCGGGCGCGAGAGCGAGGCCCGGAGCGCGGGCGGGAGCUGGGGCGCACCCGCUUCUCGCCUGCCCCGCGCGCCGCCGGGAACCCUACACCCGGGGCCCGCCUUUCGGGUGGAAGCCGGGGAAAGCCUUUUGUGCGGACUUUUCCGGAGGAGCCGCUUCCUCCGAGGUCAAGGUCGUUGGUUCUCGCCCUCCAGAGGCGCGAGGGAAACGCGGAGGGGACGCGGUCCGCGCCUCCCGCCUGCCACGGUGCCGGUACUGCCCGCCGCCGCCUCGGUGGAGACCGGGUCUCGGGGUCCUGGGGUCUCCCUAGCCCACCUCGCCACUUUCCCCAGCGCGCGGUGGGGGUCGCGGCCGGAACCGACGGCGCUUGGUUUCCCCUUCCACCCGGAGGGGAUGACCGAGCCUCACCUGUUUCCAAGCCUGUGUUUCCAUAAAAGACGGGAAGCAAUAAAAGUGCCCCCCGGAGAUUCCGGAAAUCUCUACAAAGAGCAAGUGGCCGUUCGCCUUUCCUUCAGCCGACAAGGCUUCACUGUCAAGCAUGGGGUUCUCGUGAACCUCCAAACGACACGACCGGCACAGCAACAAUGGUGAAGCCCUCUAUUGUCCUUACUCCCAAGUUCCUGUCCCAUGACCAGGG
rnacentral:lncRNA from 1 species